GGCGCUUUGGCGGAGUGGUUAACGCGAUGCCCUGCUAUAUUUACGAUAUAACGGAAGGCAUUUCCCUCGGGAGCGCAGGUUCGAAUCCUGCAGGCGUCG
rnacentral:tRNA from 1 species